AACCCGGCCGACAGAAGAUGGCGGAUGAGCAGCGUGCAGGGUUUUCUCCCUGUGGCUCACUCUCUCUUACUGUGCUGGGCGGUUGCUUCCUCUCCUGCUGCCCUUGGGAGUCAGACUCCAGGUUCUUCAGCCUGUGGCCCCUGGGGCUCUCGGGCCUUGGAGGACUGACUAGGAGCACACGGUGGGCCUCUCUGGUUUGGGGGCCUGGGACGUGGCGGAGCCCUGCAGCUUCUGUGCGGCCUGUUCUGGGCGUCGCGUUGAAACGCCAGCCAGUUCCCCAAGAUGGACGUAGAACUACUCUAGGAAAUUCCUCAAACACUGCCAAGUACUUCAUGGCUGAAAGCCAAAUAUUCAGUCCCCCUGGGAUUACAGGAGUGUUGAAGAAAUGUUGUGACACAUCAGAACACCGCGAAAUACAUGGACACUUUCAAAUCAUGGAAGACUCAAGGACAAAGAAGACAGAAAAUACUACACACUACCCAGAGAUUGAAACUGAAGGUGUGAACAACAGAGAAAAGAGAGGGCAAAGAAAAGGAAAACAAAGAAGACGUGGGAUAUGAAAGGUGUAUGCCAUGUGUGGACAUCAAGAAAUGUUUCAGCUCGCACUUCUGCCACCAAUUGAGCCUG
rnacentral:lncRNA from 1 species